UACGUAGGUGGCAAGCGUUAUCCGGAUUUAUUGGGCGUAAAGCGCGUGCAGGCGGUUCUGUAAGUCGGACGUGAAAGCUCCUGGCUUAACUGGGAGAGGUCGUUCGAUACUGCGGGGCUUGAGGUCGGGAGAGGGACGUGGAAUUCCCGGUGUAGUGGUGGAAUGCGUAGAUAUCGGGAGGAACACCAGUGGCGAAAGCGACGUCCUAGCCCGCACCUGACGCUAAGACGCGAAAGCGUGGGGAGCGAACGGG
rnacentral:rRNA from 1 species